AUGACCCAAUUUAGAAGUAUGUCAACAUGAAAAUUUUCUGAGAAAAUCGUGCAUUUUCUCGGAGAAAGAAGUACUGAUGCCAAAUGAAGUAUGCAGCGAAUUAAAAUGCUAAAUUUUUUACGUAGAUGGUGCUACUUUAAAUAACUUUUGAAUGUGAUAGUUUCCAACAUGAAGGAAGAAGAGGAGUCCAAAUCUUACAAGAUGAUGGACAAUAUACCGUUCCAGUAUGUGUCACUUAGCAUGUAUUAUAAGCUAGCCAAUAAACUUGAUCCUGAUAGUUCUGUCGUGGGCAACAAUUGGCGCUUGUUGGCAGAAAAACUUGGAUAUUCUACUCAAGAUAUAUUUGUGUUCGAAAGUCAGCAGUCACAACAUGGGAGGAAUACUAUUAAAGUGUUACAAGACUACAGCCAGAAACAGGGUAGUACUGUCAAUCAGGUGUACGACGCUCUAGAAGAAAUCGACAGACCAGAUGCUCUUGAUGAACUCAGAGAGGGAAUUCCAGAAAUUGAGAAGAGUUAUCGUGACAGCUUAAAUAAAAAACAUCGGCAUCGAGAUCUCAUCGAGGACGACUACGUCUGUGUUACGUGCGACAAUAUGCCCUACUCCAAAGAGGCAUUCCAGUCAUACACUCAAAACCAUCAUAAGACUGCAGCUAUGUCUCCUGGAAACAGUUACAGAAUGUUUCCUGGAAACCAACAGAUUCCGGUUUCUUCACCGUGUAAAAAUUACCAAAGACAUAACAGCUUUGAACCUCAAUGUGUAAACACAAGGUUGCCUGGAUACGAGCAUGAAAGUCCCGACCUUAAACGACAGCGCUCCAUGCCUCUGUCUGACAGUAUGAUGGUACGCGGACAUGAUAGUCAUUCUCAAUACUAUCGUGACAUGGAACCGAUGGACCACGCCCCUUCGGUUCGAGAAGAUCCAGUUCCACCCGGGGCAGCCUUGAUGAGAGGAAUCGCCCGAUACAACAACCAGCACGGGUUGCCACAUAUGAAUUCAACUGUUCACACCAACAAUUCAGAGAAUCUCUUCAGACAGCCUUUUAACCAGUUCAGUCGCCAGACAGAACGAGCAGGUCUGAAGUUAGAAAUUCCGGCACCAUCACUGAAGUCAGCAGACUUCUUUAGCCCAAGUCCGACACCUACCACGCCAUCUACACCUUUAGGGCACUUACAGAAACUAGCCAAUGAAACGCCAAUUCAGACAGAAGAUGGAUACAAACACCUGAUGAAGCUAAAACGCGACGAGGAAUUACUCCAGGGUAAAGCCGGGCACCUAGAAUCCCCUGAUAGACUAAUGGAAUUUAUGUCUCAGCAACAUCCAAGCAUGAUAGGUCAUGGCCAAGGUCAUCAUGGUGAGGGUCAAGGUCAUAUGAGGUUAAGUCCAAGGAUACCUGGUCCACCAAAUACAUUUCCGUUAAGAUCUAAGUCAUCUUCAAAUUCAGCCGCAACGUCCCCUACAAGUAGUUCUCAGACCCAGCAGUUGACAAAAUCAGCAUCUGUGCCGGGCAACAUGAAGUCAGCAGAGUUCAGAAAAGCAUUUUGGCAUAUAAAAGUGUUUGUUACGUAUGCAGCAGACGACAAAAAACAUACACAGCGUGUAUUGAGUUUGUGUAAAUGUCUGGAGAAAAAUGGCUUCACUUGCUGUGUUGACAUAUUCCAUAGAAAACUGCCCAUAGAAGAAAGACAUAAUUGGUACCAAAACAGAUUUGACGAGGCUGACUUUAUUCUAGUUGUAAUGUCACCGAAGUACAGAAUGGAAGCGGACUCUUGCGAGAUGGAAAACGAUGCAGACGACUCGGACAGUGUUGACAGCGACGGAGAAAACGACUUAAACAACCGGCCAUACCGACUUCAUACCAAAAAUAUUUACCGACUAAUGUACCGGGAAUAUAUCCAAAGUAGUCAGAGAUGUAACCGGUUUGUGCCAUUACUUUUCCCCGGUAUGGUGCAGGAUAUUAUUCCAAACUGGAUGUUAGAUAAUUACAAUAGCUUGUUUUAUUACUGGCCUAAGCAGUAUAAAGAUUUACUAUGGAUGUUGACAAAACCGGAAAACCGUGUACCGGAACAUGUUACGCCACCCGUUAACCGGUGCAUUCAAGACAAUGAUGAUGCUGGUACGAAUGGAACAGAAAAAAGUGCGGAAUCAGAGUGAGGAAGUAAAGUCCUUUUGAAAAAUGAUUAAAAAUUAUCUAAAUUGAAUGAACAGAAAGUACAUUAUUUUGACAUUGUAGUAGUGCUUAUGUUGGAGAAAAACCCAGGAAAUUAUGAAGCUUAUCAUAAAAUACGUAUGGGCAUUUUUUUUAUGUAGUAAAGCUUGUAUGUACAAACAAAAGAUAAAAUUUUUAAUGUGAAAAUUUAUGUCCAGAUUAAGAAUUCAAACCUCUGGCAUUAUAAUUUGUUGUGUCUGGUUACGAUAUGAAUACAAAAGUGUUGCUUUGAAUUCUUGGCGUAUUAAGGUAGCAGCAUAACAAAUUUAAAGACUUACAUUAGUUACAACCAUGUUGUACUGUAGAAUGUUUGAGGUAUUGUGCGAUUUAAAUAAUUGUUAGAUUCAUGUAGCUAAAAUCGUGAUAUUGUUUGUAAAGUGUUCACGUUACCCUGUUAGAGAUGUAAUUAUUAGUGAUAAACACCUUGUGCUAAACCAAAACUUACAAGAAAAUCACCAAAGUUUGUUGUUUAAUUUUAGCUCACCAUGGUAACGGAGAGCCUAUAUUGAUCGCUUACUGUCUGUUGUCCGUCCUUUUAUUGUAUACCAGUCGACACUUCUUUAAACGACAUCUCCUCCAAAUCCACUAGGUCAAUAUCAUCAAAACUUCAUAGGAUUGUUCCUUGGGGUACCCUCUUUCAAAAUUUAUUUUAAGAAAUGUCAUUUCAUGCAGAACUAUGGUUGGCGAGGCAGUCCACUACAGGAUGGGUCACCUGUUUGAAAAUAUACGAAAAACAUCAAAUGACGUUGUAGUUAAAUCUGUUGGUCAGAAAUUGAUAUAAUUAAACAGAAACAUUUCCAAGACUGUCAGUUGGGGUUGUGUUUCCCAUAUUCAUAGAGAAAACUUUUCUUAUUUUUGUCACUCUUUCUAUAAAUUCUGGUGAGCGAUAUAGGAUCAUCUUGGCAUCUUGUUAAAUUUUAAGUUAUUAUAAUUAUAUAUUGUAUAUAUUGAAUAAAUGCCAAAUGAAAAUAAAACAUUUAGAAAAUAGACAACUGCCAAUAUUGGCCAAGUCAGAUAAAAGACUGGUCUUUGUUGAUAGGUGACCACUGCAAAUAGAGUUUGAUAUUUUAGAUGUUAGUGUUUGAAAUUUGUCUUUUUUUAGUUUUUCUUUUAAUAUUAAGAAUAUUAAUAUUACGUCUAUUACAAUACAUUUUGUUAUUUGUUUGUGGUUUUAAGUCACAACUUAUCUUUAAACCAGUUUUUAAAUUUUGAAUGGAUAACUUUUUACAUAUAGAUUAAAUUGUAGGAGUUUUUUACAUAUAGAUAGGAGUAAGGCUAUUUCCCUACAUGGUUAUAUGUUUUGUUCUGCCAUUUUUCUGUCAUAAUAGUGCUAGAAUAGUAUUCAUAAAGUGUUGUUAUUCAACCACCUUUAAAAAAUUGUUUGUUUGCCAAGUUUGACUUGUUUUCUUUAGAUUGGAUAGUUGGUUAAAUUUUGUUUUCACCCAUUGAUUAACAGGUUUAAUAAAAAUACAAAAUAUAAGUGGUUAAGUGAUAAAAGCCAGAAGAAUAUUUAUGUUUCAACACAUGCAAAUGUUUUGGGGGUUCUUUAGGGGCUCUGAAACAUGAAAAGUAGCAGCUUACAGGUCCAGAAACCUUAAAAGGAAAAAGAUAGUUUUCCAUAAAAAAUUUCGUACAAGCAAAAUUUUGGUGAUCAGGCCACAAGUGGCAAGCAAACAAUUUUUUUAUAAUCAGCUUAAUAAUAUUAGGACUGCUAGAUAGGUAACAUUAUGCCUGUAAGUCAGACUCAUGUCAACUUUAAACAUUGACUAGAUUUUUGUUCAAACGGGACUGCCGUGUUAAACAAGGUCAAGGUCACAAUAAAAGGUUACAGCUUUGUUUGAAAACAAAAUUUAAGAUAAGAAGUAUCAAAACAAAUCUGAAAAGCUAAAAUUUCAUGUUGCGUAAACAUGGACAAGUUUAGUUUCUUUGCCUACUUGGCAAGUAUAACACAGGAAGAACAGACCGUAAUUUUUCAAGGUUAAAGACACUUGAUUAUGAUUUCUAUUAUAAGGUCAAGGUCAGAAACAGAACUUAAUACUGAGUAGACACAGAAACGUUCUGUAUCUGUAUGGUCAGUAUCCCACAAGGUCAGACAAGAUUGCAAGGUCAAGGACACAUGUCAAGGUCAAGGACACAUGUGUGUAGGUCAAUAGUGGAAUGCACAAAAGUGGAACUUAUAUAUCCAAGGUCACAGUUCAUAUUCAGGCCUUUAUUUUGCAUAG